rnacentral:rRNA from 1 species
AUUGAACGCUGGCGGCAGGCCUAACACAUGCAAGUCGAACGGAAACAGGAAGCAGCUUGCUGCUUUGCUGAGGAGUGGCGGACGGGUGAGUAAUGUCUGGGAAACUGCCUGAGGGAGGGGGAUAACUACUGGAAACGGUAGCUAAUACCGCAUAACGUCGCAAGACCAAGGAGGGGGACCUUCGGGCCUCUUGCCAUCGGAUGGGCCCAGAUGGGAUUAGCUAGUAGGUGGGGUAACGGCUCACCUAGGCGACGAUCCCUACCUGGUCUGAGAGGAUGACCAGCCACACUGGAACUGAGACACGGUCCAGACUCCUACGGGAGGCAGCAGUGGGGAAUAUUGCACAAUGGGCGCAAGCCUGAUGCAGCCAUGCCGCGUGUAUGAAGAAGGCCUUCGGGUUGUAAAGUACUUUAAGCGGGGAGGAAGGGAGUAAAGUUAAUACCUUUGCUAAUUGACGUUACCCGCAGAAGAAGCACCGGCUAACUCCGUG